rnacentral:tRNA from 1 species
AUUUAAAUAGCUUAAAUUUAAAGCAUAACAUUGAAGCUGUUAUUAUGAUUAUUAAAUCUUUAAAUA